rnacentral:rRNA from 1 species
CCCUUAGAUGUUCUGGGCUGCACGCGCGCUACACUGAUACUUUCAGCGAGUCCACCACCUUGCCUGGGAGGGUGGGGUAACCUCUGGAAAGUGCAUCGUGACGGGGAUAGAUUAUUGCAAUUAUUAAUCUUCAACGAGGAAUGCCUAGUAGGCGCAAGUCAUCAGCUUGCGUCGAUUACGUCCCUGCCCUUUGUACACACCGCCCGUCGCUCCUACCGAUUGGGUGUGCUGGUGAAAUGUUCGGAUCGGCCGUUUGUCGCGGUUUCCGCGUCAUGUGGCUGAGAAGUUCAUUAAACCCUCCCACCUAGAGGAAGGAGAAGUCGUAACA